GUGGGGAAUAUUGGACAAUGGGGGGAACCCUGAUCCAGCCAUGCCGCGUGUGUGAAGAAGGCCUUUUGGUUGUAAAGCACUUUAAGCGAGGAGGAGGCUACCGAGAUUAAUACUCUUGGAUAGUGGACGUUACUCGCAGAAUAAGCACCGGCUAACUCUGUGCCAGCAGCCGCGGUAAUACAGAGGGUGCAAGCGUUAAUCGGAUUUACUGGGCGUAAAGCGCGCGUAGGUGGCCAAUUAAGUCAAAUGUGAAAUCCCCGAGCUUAACUUGGGAAUGGCAGUCGAUACUGGUUGGCUAGAGUAUGGGAGAGGAUGGUAGAAUUCCAGGUGUAGAGGUGAAAUGCGUAGAGAUCUGGAGGAAUACCGAUGGCGAAGGCAGCCAUCUGGCCUAAUACUGACACUGAGGUGCGAAAGCAUGGGGAGCAAACAGGAUUAGAAACCCGAGUAGUCC
rnacentral:rRNA from 1 species